rnacentral:rRNA from 1 species
CCCUUAGAGUUUGAUCCUGGCUCAGAAUCAACGCUGGCGGCGUGCCUAACACAUGCAAGUCGAGCGAGAAAGGGGCUUCGGCCCCGAGUAAAGCGGCGCGCGGGUGAGUAACACGUGGAUAACCUGCCUUGGAGUGGGGAAUAACACCGGGAAACCGGUGCUAAUACCGCAUACGAUGACGAGAUCUGCGGAUUUUGUCAUGAAAGGAGCAAUUCGCUCCAAGAGGGGUCCGCGGCUGAUUAGCUAGUUGGUGAGGUAAUGGCUCACCAAGGCAACGAUCAGUAGCCGGUCUGAGAGGACGGUCGGCCACACUGGAACUGAGACACGGUCCAGACUCCUACGGGAGGCAGCAGUGGGGAAUUUUUGGCAAUGGGCGCAAGCCUGACCAAGCAACGCCGCGUGGGUGAUGAAGUCUCUUGGGACGUAAAACCCUUUCGACAGGGAAGAAACCGCAAGGUUGACGGUACCUGUAGAAGAAGCCCCGGCUAACUCCGUGCCAGCAGCCGCGGUAAUACGGGGGGGGCAAGCGUUGUUCGGAAUUACUGGGCGUAAAGGGCGCGUAGGCGGUUUGCUAAGUUGGAUGUGAAAACUCUGGGCUCAACCCAGAGCCUGCAUCCAAAACUGGCAGGCUAGAGUUCUGGAGGGGAAAGCGGAAUUCCUGGUGUAGCGGUGAAAUGCGUAGAUAUCAGAGGAACACCGGUGGCGAAAGCGGCUUUCUGGACAGAAACUGACGC